rnacentral:rRNA from 1 species
UACAGAGGGUGCAAGCGUUGUUCGGAAUUACUGGGCGUAAAGCGCGUGUAGGCUGCUCAGUAAGUUGGAUGUGAAAGCCCUGGGCUUAACCUAGGAAGUGCAUUCAAAACUACUGAGCUGGAGUCCUGGAGAGGAAGGCGGAAUUCUCGGUGUAGAGGUGAAAUUCGUAGAUAUCGGGAGGAACACCGGUGGCGAAGGCGGCGUUCUGGACCGUGACUGACGCUGAGGCGCGAAAGCGUGGGGAGCAAACGGG